CUCCAGGAGAUCUGAAGUGCGGAGACGGGGGGAAGGCAGGAAAACAGAGAAAAGGAUGCCUAUUCCCCUAUUACCAAAUAUCUCUGAGCAGAAACAACAACAUGGGAAUGAAGUCUUCCCUGCACCGGAUUCUCCACUGGAGGCAACAGGGACCCAUCAGAACCCAAGAUCCCCUCUGUGCUCCAUUCAGAGUUCAGCACUGCACCCUCCUCCCUCAGAAUCCCGGCCAUCUAACCUCCUCCACUGGGGUCUUGCAGAGUUUGCAUAUCAUUGAAUCAGCCUGGAUCCUCCCCAAGUCCCUGUGUGGGUAGAUGGCAUUUGCUCACGUGAUGAGGAUGGACUGGUUCUCCCUAUCUGGAAGAGGAAAGAAGAGAGGCAACAGAGUCAGGACCCCUCUGAGGCCAAAACCAGUGGAGGUCCCCCCAUCCCCGCCCCAGCAUCCUCUCUGGCAAAGGAUGUGCAUCCCUGGGAUGGUGCCCUGUUACAUACAUCUGCUCAGGUCCAUCUGAGAAAGAGCUCUUCAUUGUGCUGGAAGUCCUGGAGCACAAGGGCAUGCGAUGGAGGCUCCUGCCACAGGUGAGGGACACCGGGUCACCUCCCUGUGCCUGGCUCCUUGGAUCUCCGUCUGUCUCUGUCUGACCUCCCUUUCCCUCUGCCUGGUUCCCUGUCUCAAAGUUGGACCUGGCCUCCGAUUCUCCCUGGCGCCAGGUUUCUGCCCAACUUGGAGUCUGCCAGGCCUGCAUUUCCAAGAGUCUCUGCUUUCUCUCAGCUCGACCUCCGCUCACCCUCUGCCUGUCUCUUCUCUGCUUCCACGUCUCACUCCGAGGUCUUUGUCCACCCCUCUCUAAUGUCACUAUUCCUGGCCUUGCUGAUUUACCUCACAUCUGAAGGUGACCCGGAUUUCUUCCCUUGCUCAGUGUCACCUCCCUCAGCUCUUGCAGCAUCUGUCUUCAAGGCCCACCCUGCCCUUCUGCUCUCCCACCCAUCAGCCCCCUCCUCCUCUCUCUCCUCCUACUGCCGGCUGCCAGGCUCUGCUGCUGUCCGCCAUGUGGUCUCCACUGUGUCUCUAGCCUCUCUUCUCUGCUCUGGGAGCUUAUGUCCUCAGGGUGUCCCUGCAUCUCCCUUUUCUCUACCAAUCUCCUCAUUGUUCCCAGGUGGUCCUAGGGCAGGUGAGUGGAGGGGGCCUCAAGGAGAAGGGUGGGAACCCAUGAAGGCCUCCUCACUACUUGUAUUUUUUCUUUGUUGGUUCCCCUAGUCCCCUGCCCCCUCGAUUUCUUGAGUCUCCCCACUCUCUCUGAUGUCUGUCACCCUCCUCAGUUCUUUCCUUUUUCCUUCCCUAUCCCCUUUCUCCCUGCUUCCCUGUCCUCCUAUUCUCUGAUUCUUCCUGGGGUAGGCCUUCUUUCUGGCUGCUCAGAGUAGGGGUGACCAGGAGCCUGGCUGGGAUGGCUGUGUGGUAAGGUGCAGGAGAUUCAGUCCAGGGCUAGCCAGGCCUUCUGGGGUUCCCAGUGGGUGGCCGACUGCCCCAUUCCUUGCAAGAUGCUGUGACCCAUAGGCCCAGGCCUUCUCUAAGUAGCCCAGGUGUGGCAGUGACUCCAGGGGGCCAGGCUUGUUUAGUUGGGGAGAGGCUUGCUCCUUUCUCCACUCCCGAGCCCUCUGGCUGCCCACCCUCCCCUCCCCAGAGUCCUGCUCACUUGGGACUCUCCUCUCCACAGUCCCUUAUCUGUCUGCCUCCCCUCCAUAUGGCUGGCCAUAAAUGGGCCAAAGAUCCUCCAUCUUCCAGCAAGCAAGGUGAAGAGGAUCUUGGGAAAGGAAGAUACAGCAAGAAGAAGUGAAGGAGAAGAAAGAAGUGCUGUGGAGAGAGGGGGAUAGGAGGAAGAUAAGAGGAGGAGAGGAGGGUGGGCCCAGGGUACAGUUCUGACUGUGAUGAGGAAGGCGCCCUGGCCUUAGGUUGCUUAGAGACAGAGGUGGCUGCAUCUGUAAGGAUGAUGGGCUACAGCCAUGAGUCCGUGUGCCCUCUCAGAGACCUGCUGUAGGCUGGGACUUAGAAGUCACUACCCCACACAUCAGAGGGUACCCCUACACACUAAACCUCCUCCUGGAGGCUCAGGCCUGGUGCUGUUAGGGGUGGUGGGGGGUAGUGUCAAUCAGCUGGGAUAUAAGUCCAUAGCUGAUGGGCUCUGCCUGCUCUAGGCAAGACUUAAAGGUUUUCCUAAAUUUCCCUUAACCCUGAUGGUCUCUGGGCCAGGGAGAGGACUGGGAGGAGAGGUGUCACCUGCUGAGAAGGAGGUGAAGGGGAGCGUCUGGGUCAGUCCUGCACCAAGGAUGCUCAGAGACUCACAGUUUUCCAGGAAGGCCUCCUUGGGCUGUGUAUAAAGCCGCCCCUCCUCUCCUGGAUUCCCACCCCCCAUCCCCCUGACCCCGUUCAUGUCCCCAUGGCUGGCAGGCUUUGAAGAAGAGUCUGAAGGCAAGAUAUUGGCUUCAAAGAAAAUAGCUUUACUCUGCUUCAUCCAAAGGGGCUGCUAUAUAGACUCUGGAACUGGGGGCUUCGUCAGCACCCUCGGGACUGGGCAGAUCAAGAAGACGUGGCAAAGCUAUUCCUCAUUCAAGCC